rnacentral:lncRNA from 1 species
AAGCACUAUACAUGAAAAAAAUUGUAAAGCAUAGUCCCUAGAAAAUAAAAUGUUAAAGAGUUAAAUCGAAAAAAAAAUACACAAAACAUAAAAAAUAGCAAUUAAAAAAAUAAGGGAUAAAAUUAAAAUAAAAAUAAAUUAAAGGGCAACAACAAAUUUUCAAUUUGAGAGUUAAAUUGAAAAGAAAGAAAAAAUUAAAAAAGAAAAAAGAUCAAAAGAAUGAGAUCCAAAAUAAAAAAAAAGCAC